rnacentral:rRNA from 1 species
AUACGUAUGGUGCAAGCGUUGUCCGGAUUUAUUGGGCGUAAAGGGCUCGUAGGCGGUCUGUCACGUCGGAUGUGAAAACUCGGAGCUCAACUCCGGGCCUGCAUCCGAUACGGGCAGACUAGAGUUCGGUAGGGGAGAUUGGAAUUCCUGGUGUAGCGGUGGAAUGCGCAGAUAUCAGGAGGAACACCGAUGGCGAAGGCAGAUCUCUGGGCCGAUACUGACGCUGAGGAGCGAAAGCGUGGGGAGCAAACAGAAUUAGAUACCCCAGUAGUCC